ACUUAAUCUCCUUUCGUCCAUAAAUGUACGCCUUCCACAUUACGCCUAGUUACUUAUUCUAGCCUAGAUAUAAUUUUGUAGCUAAGUAUCAAGUUUAGUUCAGUCAGUUCGUCAGUGCAGUGGCAGUGUUUCUGUUCGUAUACUGUACUGUUUAGGCUAGGCCUAGGCUAAACCUAAGAAUUGAGUAAAAAAAAGUGCAACAGCUCAGGUACGGGCGUUGGGACACAAAAGAAAAAUCGUUGUUUUUUUUUGUUGCUUACCUAGGCCUAGCCUAGGCUUAGGCCUCUUCCUUAACCUAGGGCCUACAGUACACAGUACCUAGCCUAGCUAAGCCAUAGAAGCCUAUGCAUGAAAUUUGAAAAAAAAUUCAUUUUUUCUUUAAAUAUCAUUUAUUUAUUGUAUUUUGUGUCAACCAAAAAUACUGAGACUUGUUUUUUGCACAGUUCAAUAUACUUCACUCUUUUUCAAAAUGAAUGAUUGUAUAACUGUCAACUGUCUGACCUCAAUAAUUGGUAUUUUAAAUUCGACAACCACACAACCAAAAACAUCAAUAGCUCGAACUUUUUAAUAUACUCAUAUUCUACACAUAGGAAGUUUUCAAUUUUGCUAUAAUUAAAGUUUGAAAUAUUUCAAGCAUAAUUAUAUUUUGUUGACCAAAAAAUAUGGUAUAAAUAACUGGGGUGUGAAUAUUUUUCAUGGAUGUCCAUUGAAAGUCAAAUACUAAUAGCAUGCGCAAAUGUGGGAGGAAAGUUUACUAAUAAAUAGUAAAUAAUUAUCUAUCUUCCAAUAGAUUGACAUUGGCCAUGGUUUACUUAUAGAAAAGGACCAACUAAUAGCCAUCACUCAGAUAAGCGAUGGGGCCACAAGGCAAAUUCAAAAUUUGUUUGUUGUUGUUUCCGAGGCAUGAAGUGGUAGGGAAAUACAUGAUAGGGAAGAAAAGCAACGCACAUGUGGAACAUCGGUAGAGAAAGAGCGUUUGGAUCCCAUCUGAAUUACUGCCAUAACAGGUAGUUACCAAUGACCUGAGGGAAGGAAGUUCAACAGCAUUUAGGCAAGUCCACCAUUCUUCUGUAAAGGCACCCUGUAUGCAUAAUUAAAUACGAAACUUAAAGCAAGUUUGUAAUGAAGAAGAUGUAGUUGCCAGAAGAGAUGACAACGAUGAGGACGACAGCAAUAUUAUGUGAAUGCGUUUGAUUUGUAGCACAUCCUCUUUAUUGGUUCUGAUACAACAUUCUACUUCGCAAAUGGUUCCAUUGUGACAGAACAGUCAUGAAUUUCCUCUGUCAAGGCUUGAUUCAGAGAGAGUGUAGCCACCUGCUUUUCUCAAUUUCCAAGAUUUUUAAGUGUGCACUAUGGAAUUUUGUACACUAGGCCCCUUGUUUAUUUUUGAUAUUUCUUUGACAUUUUUAAAAUCAAUUGAACUUGCCAAAUACUGACUGAAAUAACUGUACUUACAGAAAUAGUAUAGAAUUGUCAGCACUUGACUCUAACUUGAUUUUGAUUUAUUAUUUUUUUGGAUAUUGAUUAUUGUAUAUCCUUUUGUCCUAUAUUGAAAUGGGGCUUUUGCUAAUUUACAGUAUAAUACAGUACAGGAUGCAUUAAACAUUAAAGGAUAAACACAUAACGCUAUAUAAUUGUAAGUAAUUUUGUAUUGUUGACCUCUUUUGUCCCAGAGCAUCAAAGUUAACACGAUGUAGUUGGAAUCCUACGUGUGACCAGAGGCCGACCUAAGGAUAUGCACAGUGUACAGCCUUUGUUCAAGUUUUGAAAACGUCUUGGAAUACCAAUCAAACUCAAAAAUUUUACCGUUAUUUUGAUGUUUUUAAAGAAUUCUUAAAAGGUAUUACAAGACCAAAGUCAAUGUAACUAGAGUUAAAAAUUACUCUAUUUACAUUGACUUUGGUAUUGUAACAAAUUUUAAGAAUGUUUUAAAAACAUCAAAAUAACGUUAUAAUAACGUUUCUGAAUGUUAAAUUGAAACGUUAUUAAAAUGCUUUAAAAACUCCCCAUAAUUACGUUUUUAAAACGUAAUAUUAUAACGUUUUACAAACGUAAUAAAAACCCUUUGUAAACGUUUUUAAAACGUGAUACAAGAACAAAGUCGAUGUAACCAAGGUUAUUUUUACGUUAUAAUAACGUUUUUAAAACUUAAAACGUUAUUUAAACGCUUCCAAAACUCCACAAAAUUACGUUUUCGAAACGUUUUAC
rnacentral:lncRNA from 1 species